UACGUAGGUGGCAAGCGUUGUCCGGAUUUAUUGGGCGUAAAGGGCGCGUAGGCGGCACUGUUAGUCAGGCGUGAAAGUCCUGGGCUCAACCUGGGAACUGCGCUUGAUACGGCAGAGCUAGAGGAUGGAAGAGGGUCGCGGAAUUCCCAGUGUAGAGGUGAAAUUCGUAGAUAUUGGGAAGAACACCGGUGGCGAAGGCGGCGACCUGGACCAAUAUUGACGCUGAGGAGCGAAAAGCCAGGGGAGCAAACGGG
rnacentral:rRNA from 1 species